UAAAUACACUCAGCUAAAACAUGUGGUGGAGUUUAAUUUUUAAUCUAGGAAUAAGUACUAUGAUAAUAGUCACAAUAGCAGAUUAUAAAAGGUUUCGACUAAGCGAUAAGCCUGUUCAGAGCAUAACAUGCAAGCCAACUUCAACUAUAUCAAUUAACAAUGUAUAUGCGGAGGAUGGGAAAUGCAACAGUAGUACUUGUGUUUUAGAAGACAGUGACCAUGCAUUGAUAAACAGCAGAUGUAAUGAUUCUACGUCCUGUCUUCUAGAUUUUAACCUUACAUCUCCUUGCCUGAUGGGAAAGCGACAUUUUAAUUUUGUUUAUGGUUGCAAAGAACCAGAAAGUUAUGCAUGCAAUUUUGAACAGGACUUCUGCAACUGGUUGCCAGGAAAUGAUAACAGUACAUUUAAUUGGACAAGAUUAAGGGCAGUCAGUCCAAAUACAGAUCAAACAACCGGU